UUCCAGACUCCUACGGGAGGCAGCAGUGGGGGAUAUUGCACAAUGGGGGGAACCCUGAUGCAGCGACGCCGCGUGGGUGAAGGAGUGCUUCGGCAUGUAAAGCCCUAUCGGCAGGGAAGAAGCAAGACGGUACCUGACUAAGAAGCCCCGGCUAACUACGUGCCAGCAGCCCCGGUAAUACGUAGGGGGCAAGCGUUAUCCGGAUUUACUGGGUGUAAAGGGCGUGUAGCCGGGCCGGCAAGUCAGAUGUGAAAUCCCGAGGCUCAACCUUGGAACUGCAUUUGAAACUGUUGGUCUUGAGUGUCGGAGAGGCAGGCGGAAUUCCUAGUGUAGCGGUGAAAUGCGUAGAUAUUAGGAGGAACACCAGUGGCGAAGGCGGCCUGCUGGACGACAACUGACGGUGAGGCGCGAAAGCGUGGGGAGCAAACAGGAUUAGAUACCCUAGUA
rnacentral:rRNA from 1 species